CCUCUGCAUAGCUCAGUUGGCUGGAACGCUGCACCAGAAUCGCAGGGCCGCAGGUUCGAUUCCUACCAGAGCG